AAACAUGGUUCUUUGGAGGAAAAUUAAGAUAAAGAAUCUUGCCUGCCCAGUGAUGAAAAUUUAACGGCCGCGGUAAUUUAACUGUGCGAAGGUAGCAUAAUCAAUUGUCUAUUAAUUGUAGACUGGAAUGAAUGGUGUGACUAAAGAUUAAUUGUCUCGAAGUUAUUAUGAAAUUUUCAUUUUCUUGAGGAGGAGAAAAUGAUUCAGAGGGACGAGAAGACCCUAUUGAGCUUAAUAUCAAAAAUAUUGUUAUUUGUGGGGAUUUAUAUGUUAUAGAUAUUUUGCUGGGGCGGUGAAUUUAAAAUAUAAAACAGUAUUUAAAGAGGAUAUUGUUAAAUGAGAAUUUGAUCCAAUAUAAUUGAUUAUAAGACUAAGUUACUGUAGGGAUAACAGCGUGAUAUUAUCUUGAAGUACUAAUUUAUGAUAAAGAUUGCGACCUCGAUGUUGGUUUAGGAAUCUUAUUUGGUGCAAAUGCUAAGUAAAGUAGUCUGUUCGACUAUUAAAUUCCUAU
rnacentral:rRNA from 1 species